UCAAGAAGCAAUACAAACAAUUCGCUUUUGCCGACAUAGAAAUGAAGCUAUUUUAUUAUUAUUUUUAAUUUUUCUAUUUCUUUUCUAUUCAGAAUCACCAGUUGAAGCAAAAACUGAUGUUCCAAUUCUAAGGCCUGGAAUGGAAAAGGGAAUGUUGCUAUCAAGGCCUUCCAACACAGAGGAAGGUGCAUCUCAAGCAUGAUUUUGGCCUUUUCCAGAUUUACAGUAGUUAAGCUUGCUGUGUUUUGUGGUCAAGGGGACCAGUAUGCUCCUGGAAGAUGCAUAUCCCUGCGUGGUGCUUGUGUGCUGGGCUGCUGCUCACAGACUCAGGGCUUGGGAAACUUCUCAGCUUGACUUCUAACUGCAGCGUAAAAAUUCAAGGCAAACACUGGCUGGACAUUGGCUGCUGAUGGAAGAUGAAGUAAUGGGAAAGGGGCAGUGGGGCACUGCGUGGGAACUAGAGGAACAAAGCUAGAUUGUGAAGUAGAUGAGCAGCAACCUGCAAUUUCUGUGACAAGACAGCUAACAAAUGAAGCCGUCACCGCGUCUGAUGGUCACACAAAGAUGAAUACAAAGAGGUCUUCAGAAACAGCAAAAGGAUG